rnacentral:rRNA from 1 species
UGGGGAAUUUUGGACAAUGGGGGCAACCCUGAUCCAGCAAUGCCGCGUGUGUGAAGAAGGCCUUCGGGUUGUAAAGCACUUUUGUCCGGGAAGAAAUCGCACCUGAUAAUACCGGGUGUGGAUGACGGUACCGGAAGAAUAAGGACCGGCUAACUACGUGCCAGCAGCCGCGGUAAUACGUAGGGUCCAAGCGUUAAUCGGAAUUACUGGGCGUAAAGCGUGCGCAGGCGGUUGUGCAAGACCGAUGUGAAAUCCCCGGGCUUAACCUGGGAAUUGCAUUGGUGACUGCACGGCUAGAGUGUGUCAGAGGGUGGUAGAAUUCCACAUGUAGCAGUGAAAUGCGUAGAGAUGUGGAGGAAUACCGAUGGCGAAGGCAGCCCCCUAGGAUAACACUGACGCUCAUGCACGAAAGCGUGGGGAGCAAACAGG